rnacentral:rRNA from 1 species
AACGAACGCUGGCGGCAUGCCUAACACAUGCAAGUCGAACGAGACCUUCGGGUCUAGUGGCGCACGGGUGCGUAACGCGUGGGAACCUGCCCUUAGGUUCGGAAUAACUCCCCGAAAGGGGUGCUAAUACCGGAUAAUGUCUUCCGACCAAAGAUUUAUCGCCUUUGGAUGGGCCCGCGUUGGAUUAGCUAGUUGGUAGGGUAAAAGCCUACCAAGGCGACGAUCCAUAGCUGGUCUGAGAGGAUGAUCAGCCACACUGGGACUGAGACACGGCCCAGACUCCUACGGGAGGCAGCAGUGGGGAAUAUUGGAAAAUGGGCGAAAGCCUGAUCCAGCAAUGCCGCGUGAGUGAUGAAGGCCUUAGGGUUGUAAAGCUCUUUUACCCGGGAUGAUAAUGACAGUACCGGGAGAAUAAGCUCCGGCUAACUCCGUG